rnacentral:tRNA from 1 species
GCCUUGAUGGUUCAGUGGUAGAAUUCUCACCUUCCAUGUGGGAGACCUGGGUUCAAUUCCAGGCCAGUGAA